GAAGACUUUUUGAAUUCUGUGGAGGAGGAAAGCCGAAGAGCUGGUGACGACUCCCGUUGACAAAUGCGUGGGUCUUCAAGGGAUGAUGCUGAAACUGCUCGUGGGGAGAAGAAUCCACAGCUGGCUGCUAUGACUGGGAAUCUUUACAACACGGUGGUGCCCCCUCCCUUGGUGAAAACGAAAUGGUGGCGGGAAAGAUGCAGCCCCUGCUUUGAAACUGGAAUGGACUUCCUUUGAGCGCCGGAG